UUCGUCGCGUAGUUGUGGGGACAUGAUCCUUCCACAGUGAUACUUAUUGAAGCCUUUGCAGCCUCGCAAGAGGUCUGCAUCCCCCGACAGAAAACAAUGGGAUGCUCCGCGGCGCCAUGCUGCGUGCAAGUCGGCCCUGGAGCCGGCGACACUUUCGAAUUGCGGGGACACCCUAAAGCCUCACUCUACCAACACGCCUGGGAAACCCGGCGUGGGCCCCUGUUAAUCGCAGGGGAGACGGUCACAAGGAGUAGGAUGACACAAUGGGCAAUCCGCAGCCAAGGUCCUACGGCGCCUGCUGGGCGCUAUGGAACAGGUUCACAGACUAGGUGGAAGUGGGUGGAGCGUACGCUCUGCUUAAGAUAUAGUCGGGCUUCCAGGGAAACCUGGGAGGGAAAUCACUGCAUCCCAACCGUUCCGUAGGUGAACCUGCGGAAGGAUCAUUA
rnacentral:rRNA from 1 species